rnacentral:rRNA from 1 species
GUGCAAAGGUAGCAUAAUCAUUAGAAGUCUAAUUGGAGUCUGGAAUGAAUGGUUGGACAAAGGAAAAACUGUCUUUAUAAUACAAAUUGAAGUUUACCUUUAAGUGAAAAGGCUUAAAUAAAUCAGAGGGACGAUAAGACCCUAUAAAGCUUUAUAAAUAAUUUAGGUUUAGUUGGUUUAAGCAGGAUAAAAAUUAAGUCUAAUUAUUUUAUUUUGUUGGGGUGAUGUGAGUAUAAAUAUUAUUAACUGCUUAAGAAAAAUACAUAUAUAGGGGAAUCUGCAGAAGUUCAUGAUCCUUUUUAGAGAUUAAAAGACUAAGUUACUUUAGGGAUAACAGCGUUAUUUCUUUUGAGAGUUCUUAUCGAAAAAGAAGAUUGCGACCUCGAUGUUGAAUUAAAAUGUCUAUAUAAUGCAGCCGUUAUAUAAGAGGGUCUGUUCGACCUUUAAAUUUUUACAUGAUUUGAGUUC